GGAGGAAGGUGGGGAUGACGUCAAUCAUCAUGGCCCUUACGAGUAGGGCUACACACGUGCUACAAUGGCGUAUACAAAGAGAAGCGAACUCGCGAGAGCAAGCGGACCUCAUAAAGUACGUCGUAGUCCGGAUCGGAGUCUGCAACUCGACUCCGUGAAGUCGGAAUCGCUAGUAAUCGUAGAUCAGAAUGCUACGGUGAAUACGUUCCCGGCCUUGUACACACCGCCGUCACACAUGGGAGUGGGUUGCAAAAGAAGUAGGUAGCUUAACCUUCGGGAGGGCGCUUACCACUUUGUGAUUCAUGACUGGGGUGAAGUCGUAACAAGGUACCGUAGGGAACCUGCGGUUGGAUCACCUCCUUACC
rnacentral:rRNA from 1 species